rnacentral:rRNA from 1 species
GAUGAACGCUGGCGGCGUGCUUAACACAUGCAAGUCGAACGAUGAAGCCCAGCUUACUGAGUGGAUUAGUGGCGAACGGGUGAGUAACACGUGAGUAACCUGCCCUUGACUCUGGGAUAAGCCUUGGAAACUGGGUCUAAUACUGGAUAUGACUUCUCAUCGCAUGGUGGGGGGUGGAAAGAUUUAUUGGUCUUGGAUGGACUCGCGGCCUAUCAGCUUGUUGGUGAGGUAAUGGCUCACCAAGGCGACGACGGGUAGCCGGCCUGAGAGGGUGACCGGCCACACUGGGACUGAGACACGGCCCAGACUCCUACGGGAGGCAGCAGUGGGGAAUAUUGCACAAUGGGCGCAAGCCUGAUGCAGCGACGCCGCGUGAGGGAUGACGGCCUUCGGGUUGUAAACCUCUUUCAGUAGGGAAGAAGCGAGAGUGACGGUACCUGCAGAAGAAGCGCCGGCUAACUACGUG